UCUAAUAUGGCAGAAAUAUAUGCAUUGAUUUUAAGCAUCAAUUAUAAAGAAUUCUUCUUUUUUUAGAA
rnacentral:tRNA from 1 species